rnacentral:rRNA from 1 species
UCGAGGAUCUUCGGCAAUGGGCGCAAGCCUGACCGAGCGACGCCGCGUGCGGGAUGAAGGCCUUCGGGUUGUAAACCGCUGUCGAGGGGGAGGAAAGCCCGCAAGGGUCUGACCUAUCCCUGGAGGAAGCACGGGCUAAGUUCGUGCCAGCAGCCGCGGUAAUACGAACCGUGCUAACGUUGUUCGGAUUCACUGGGCUUAAAGGGCGCGUAGGCGGUCGAUCACGUCCGGGGUGAAAUCUUUCGGCUCAACCGGAAAAUUGCCUGGGAUACGGGUCGGCUGGAGGGAGGUAGGGGCAGGUGGAACUUCCGGUGGAGCGGUGAAAUGCGUAGAUAUCGGAAGGAACGCCGGUGGCGAAAGCGACCUGCUGGACCUCUUCUGACGCUGAGGCGCGAAAGCUAGGGGAGCGAACGGGAUUAGAUACCCGUGUAGUCC